CGGCAACAGCUCAAAUUUGAAAUCUGGCCCUCGUGGUCCGAGUUGUAAUUUGUAGAGGAUGCUUUUGGUUAGGUGCCUUCCGAGUUCCCUGGAACGGGACGCCAUAGAGGGUGAGAGCCCCGUCUGGUUGGACACCGAGCCUCUGUAAAGCUCCUUCGACGAGUCGAGUAGUUUGGGAAUGCUGCUCUAAAUGGGAGGUAUAUGUCUUCUAAAGCUAAAUAUUGGCCAGAGACCGAUAGCGCACAAGUAGAGUGAUCGAAAGAUGAAAAGCACUUUGAAAAGAGGGUUAAAAAGUACGUGAAAUUGUUGAAAGGGAAGCGCUUGUGACCAGACUUGGGCCCGGUCAAUCAUCCAGGGUUCUCCCUGGUGCACUUGGCCGGCCCAGGCCAGCAUCAGUUUGUCGCGGGGGAUAAAGACGUUGGGAAUGUGGCUCCUCCGGGAGUGUUAUAGCCCUUCGUGUAAUACCCUGCUUCGGACUGAGGUUCGCGCAUCUGCAAGGAUGCUGGCGUAAUGGUCAUCAGCGACCCGUCUUGAAACACGGACCAAGGAGUCGUCUUCGUAUGCGAGUGUUCGGGUGUCAAACCCCUACGCGUAAUGAAAGUGAACGCAGGUGAGAGCUUCGGCGCAUCAUCGACCGAUCCUGAUGUUCUCGGAUGGAUUUGAGUAAGAGCAUACGGGGCCGGACCCGAAAGAAGGUGAACUAUGCCUGUAUAGGGUGAAGCCAGAGGAAACUCUGGUGGAGGCUCGCAGCGGUUCUGACGUGCAAAUCGAUCGUCAAAUAUGGGCAUGGGGGCGAA
rnacentral:rRNA from 1 species